CGCCUGAGGAUGGGGCCGCGUCCGAUCAGGUUGUUGGUGAGGUAACGGCUCACCAAGCCUAUAACCGGUACGGGCCGUGAGAGCGGUAGCCCGGAGAUGGGUACUGAAACAAGGACCCAUGCCCUACGGGGCGCAACAGUCGCUAAAACUCCUCAAUGCACGAAAGUGUGACGGGGCUACCCCGAGUGCUCUCCGCUGAGGAAAGCUUUUCUCUGGUGUAACAAGCCAGGGGAAUAAGGAGAGGGCAACACUGGUGUCAGCCGCCGAGGUAAUACCAGCUCUCCGAGUGGUAGGGAUGUUUAUUGGGCUU
rnacentral:rRNA from 1 species